ensembl:snoRNA
UCUCCUUUGCUUGGUGGGGAUCAAGUAGGUGGUCCUCACUCCUGGAAUGCACUGAGGAAGAGGAAGAGGGCUCCAACAUCCUUUGUACUAUGUCUUUCUAUAUCUUUCAGUCCACCAGUUCUACCCUCAAGUGUCAGGACACGG